CUCAGAUACUGCUGGAAUUGGAAGUGAAGCCACAGCUGUGCUCUUAGCUGAGAUGAAUGUGAGAGGAGGAGGAGUGUGACAGGAGCAGCUGCAGCUCCCUCCCCUUCGAACCACUUAGCUUCCAGCCCCCAUCACCAUCAGCUUCUACCUCUCUGCAUCCUGAGGCCUCCAAGAUGCUGGACAUUUUCAUCCUGAUGUUUUUUGCCAUCAUUGGCCUAGUGCUUUUAUCAUACAUCAUCUAUAUAUUGUGAGGAUCAUGCUGACCGUAGGGCAGAACAAACCCUAACCUGCAGGUGAAUGGAUGUGCCAACAUCACCAGGACAUACAUGAAGCACCGUAAUCCAUCGUGUGCCAGAGAAGUGUCUGGAAGGCAGCAAAAUGAUGGGAGUUGUGGACUAUGAAAAACAAAGAUUACUAAAGUGGCACUUAUAGAGAUCAAGAAGAGUGUGAAGCAGGAGACACCCGAGAGAUAAGACAUCUAAAAUGCUCAAUCUAAAUACAUUUCAUGGAUCAAUGACAAUACGCAAUAAACACAAUUUAAAAUAAG